rnacentral:tRNA from 1 species
GGCCUCGUAGCUCAGCUGGUAGAGCGCGUACAAAGCGUAGGCGGUGUCCAUGCGUGGGUUCGAAUCCCACCAAGGCUA